GGGGACGUCCGCGACCACCGCAACCAGCGCCCCCUGGCGGUGGCCAAUGACCAGCAGGUCAUUGACCUCCUCCGUGGGAAACCCUCCCGCUCGGCCCCUCCCCCCUCCCGGGCAGCCAAUGGCCGCAGCCCCGCCCGCCCCUCCCCAGCAGCCAAUCAGAGAGCAGCGUCCUCCCAGCCAGCCAAUGAGGAGCGGGGAGGCCACAAGGACCAAUCAGAAGAGGGCAAGGAGACCCAGAGAGACACGUGACCCCCCCCCCCACCCCUCCCCCUUCCAUUCAUGAGCAUUAAACUGGGUUUUGGGUUGAAUUCAA